rnacentral:rRNA from 1 species
AAGACAUGCAGUUGAGCGCUGAAGGUUGGUACUUGUACCGACUGGAUGAGCAGCGAACGGGUGAGUAACGCGUGGGGAAUCUGCCUUUGAGCGGGGGACAACAUUUGGAAACGAAUGCUAAUACCGCAUAAAAACUUUAAACACAAGUUUUAAGUUUGAAAGAUGCAAUUGCAUCACUCAAAGAUGAUCCCGCGUUGUAUUAGCUAGUUGGUGAGGUAAAGGCUCACCAAGGCGAUGAUACAUAGCCGACCUGAGAGGGUGAUCGGCCACAUUGGGACUGAGACACGGCCCAAACUCCUACGGGAGGCAGCAGUAGGGAAUCUUCGGCAAUGGACGAAAGUCUGACCGAGCAACGCCGCGUGAGUGAAGAAGGUUUUCGGAUCGUAAAACUCUGUUGGUAGAGAAGAACGUUGGUGAGAGUGGAAAGCUCAUCAAGUGACGGUAACUACCCAGAAAGGGACGGCUAACUACGUGCCAGCAGCCGCGGUAAUACGUAGGUCCCGAGCGUUGUCCGGAUUUAUUGGGCGUAAAGCGAGCGCAGGUGGUUUAUUAAGUCUGGUGUAAAAGGCAGUGGCUCAACCAUUGUAUGCAUUGGAAACUGAUAGACUUGAGUGCAGGAGAGGAGAGUGGAAUUCCAUGUGUAGCGGUGAAAUGCGUAGAUAUAUGGAGGAACACCGGUGGCGAAAGCGGCUCUCUGGCCUGUAACUGACACUGAGGCUCGAAAGCGUGGGGAGCAAACAGGAUUAGAUACCCUGGUAGUCCACGCCGUAAACGAUGAGUGCUAGAUGUAGGGAGCUAUAAGUUCUCUGUAUCGCAGCUAACGCAAUAAGCACUCCGCCUGGGGAGUACGACCGCAAGGUUGAACUCAAAGGAAUUGACGGGGGCCCGCACAAGCGGUGGAGCAUGUGGUUUAUUCGAAGCAACGCGAAGAACCUUACCAGGUCUUGACAUACUCGUGCUAUUCCUAGAGAUAGGAAGUUUCUUCGGACACGGGAUACAGUGGUGCAUGAUGUCGUCAGCCUCGUGUCGUGAAGAUGUUGGGUUAAGUCCCGCAACGAGCGCAACCCC